CCCUUAGAUGUCCUGGGCCGCACGCGCGCUACACUGAUGCAUGCAACGAGUUUAUAACCUUGGCCUGAAAGGUCUGGGUAAUCUUUUGAACGUGCAUCGUGAUAGGGAUAGAUUAUCGCAAUUGUUAAUCUUGAACGAGGAAUUCCUAGUAAACGCGAGUCAUCAGCUCGCAUUGAUUACGUCCCUGCCCUUUGUACACACCGCCCGUCGCACCUACCGAUUGAAUGGUUCGGUGAAGAUCUCGGACUUCGAUAUCUAUUCUUUAUUGAGUUUAUAUUGUGGGAAGUUAUCUAAACCUCAUCAUUUAGAGGAAGGUGAAGUCGUAACA
rnacentral:rRNA from 1 species